GCGGUACUAGCUCAUCUGGCAGAGCCGCAGCCUUCCAAGCUGCUGGGCGGGGUUCGAGUCCCCGGUACCGCU
rnacentral:tRNA from 1 species